CCGUUAAAGGGCAAGGCGCUUACCCGCACUUUUCUGAAGAGGCAAUGGCGUCCGAGAGUUCCGCGGAGCCCGCCACGAAGGCGGAGGUCUGUUGGCGGCAGGACGUCGACGAGAAACUCCACCGCCUUCAUUCUCUUCAGUUCGGAGCAGAUCUCGCCGCCGAUCGAGGUGAUCACGUCACUGCGCGGAUCUUCGCUCUACGUCUUCUUGGUUUCUUGGAUUCCCACUCGAAAACCCCAACAGAUGACGCGUUAAUCCAUCCCAUUCGAAGGGAGGUUCUCUCCAGGAUCAACUCCUCCCGCCGAUCACUUGCUCCUCAAUCUGAUCGUCAAGCAUUUGAGCAGGCAAGGAGGAAACAAGGUUCUAUUUUUUCCAAGAAAUGUGAAGUGGACAAGGAGAAGAUCAUGAAAUCAAAGUAUUUUGAACUUUAUUAUCUUCGAUCUGGUAACAGUGUUUGUAGUGCACAGGUAUCCAAGUCACUGCGGGAGCCAAGUUAUGGUGGCCUUUAUUAUUCAAGUACUCUAAAGGAGAAACCAUCAUUUCAGACUGGCCAUCAAGAUAAGCAAAGCAAUGAAAAGGUUGUGAAGGCGACAAAGGUUCUUGCACAAGCAAAAUUGACAUCUCUAUAUUGCAACAAAACCUUUAAGCCAAGCAGCACUUCUUAUAGGACACUUGUGAAGUCUGAUUGCAAUAGUCCAAGUGAGCCCACAUAUUUGGAGAAGACAAAUUCAAAUGAUUUAGAUUCUCUAAAGGCCAAUGGGCCAUCUUCACCUUUGCAAGAUGGUGAUCUAGACAGGUUGAAUGGAAAAGUGUUGGGGACAAAACGACAGCACACAGAAGUCAUAAAACCUAUUCCUGAAAAUACAAGGUCUCCACCAGAUAUUAGCAGUACGAACCCUGAUUGUGGUAAUGGUGGAUUUGUCACCGCAAAGAUGAAGCUGGUGAUGGACUCAAAGCAAAAGGGUUCAUUGACAUGUUCACCAGGUGUUUCUUCUUCUUCACCAUCAAAUUUUGCAAAUGAAAAUCAUUACAUGACAAAAAAUGAUGUCCGGCCAUAUGGUGGAAGAUCUGCCAUGAUACCACGGCGUGGUGUGCGUGGCAAUUUUAUUCCUCCUGUAAGAUCUAAUGGGACCACAGCAAGUGGUGUGUCUGGUUCACGGGUUCCUUGUAAAAAUGAUGAUACGCUUGAUGAUUCAACGAGGAGAUGUUUAGAAAUGCUAUGUGGACCUGAUGGAGAACUCCCAGACAAGCUAAGAAAUUUAGAACCACGGCUUAUUGAGCAUGUUAGCAACGAAAUAAUGGAUAAGGAUCCCAAUGUUCGUUGGAGUGAUAUUGCUGGCCUAGAGCACGCAAAAAAGUGUGUGACUGAGAUGGUCAUAUGGCCUUUAUUACGUCCUGAUAUAUUUCGGGGUUGCCGUUCACCAGGAAGAGGCCUUCUCCUAUUUGGUCCUCCUGGUACAGGGAAAACAAUGAUAGGGAAAGCUAUAGCUGGAGAGGCCAAAGCAACCUUUUUCUACAUAUCUGCCAGUUCAUUGACAAGCAAAUGGAUUGGAGAAGGCGAAAAACUUGUCAGGGCUUUAUUUGCAGUUGCAAGCUGUCGUCAACCUGCAGUUAUUUUUGUGGAUGAAAUUGAUUCUCUCCUAUCUCAAAGAAAAUCUGAAGGAGAGCAUGAAUCUAGCAGAAGGCUUAAGACCCAAUUUUUGAUAGAGAUGGAAGGUUUUGACACUGGCAGUGAACAAAUUUUGCUUAUAGGAGCAACAAAUAGACCUCAGGAACUUGAUGAAGCAGCACGGAGGCGUCUCACUAAACGUCUUUAUAUCCCUCUUCCUUCCCCAGAAGCAAGAGCCUGGAUAGUGCGUAAUCUUUUAGCGAAGGAUGGUUUAUUUAGCCUCUCAGAUGAAGAUAUCAAUUCUGUCUGCAGGCUUACUGAAGGAUAUUCAGGAUCAGAUAUGAAGAAUUUGGUCAAGGAUGCUUCCAUGGGUCCGCUUAGGGAUGCACUCAGAGAGGGCCUUGACAUUACAAAGUUAGAAAAAGAUGACAUGCGACCUGUUGCUCUUCAGGAUUUUGAGAAGGCACUGCAAGAGGUGAGGCCAUCUGUUUCACAGAAUGAACUGGGAAGUUAUGAUGAGUGGAACAGACAGUUUGGCAGCCUCUCAAUCUAAGGGUUAGCUGUGAUUAUAGUUGGAGUGGAGCCAACUCGAUCUAUCAGUAUUGUCUGAGAUGGUGAUCGAGAAAGAAGCUCAGUAUACCAAUCAAGGAGACGAUUUUGGUUCUUGUAAAAAGAGAUCAAGCAACCGACGAUGGGGUAAAGGUGGUGUGCUUGAUGAAGUUGAAGUUGGCAGCCUCUCUCUCUCUCGCUGUGGCUCUGUGGUGAAGCUUCUUCUUUCUUUCCAUAGCUCGUGCGUUUAUAGUUUUCCGAUUGUGCAUUCCUCAAGUCACAGCAGGUAUAUAAGUUGGAUGAAGGUGGCCGGUGGUAAUUUGCGCCAUCGUCCUUGAUUCGGCCCGCCGAACGGUGGUAUUGGUUCAGUUGGUGGGCCCAACUCGCGUAGCCAUGCGCAUGAAUUGUGACUUCAGGUCGGGUUACUGCACCUUCUCAUCGUUGCUGAUGUAAACCGGCACUAGAUGGACUUCUAUCUACACAGCCUCUUGGUGGCAUGAUCACAGCAGCUUGGAAAGGGAGGGCAUGGUUAGACCUAGAAAGUCCUAGCCUUAACUCGCUUCACAAACUUCCUUCACCAUCUCUCCCUUAAGUUGUACAUCUGUAACUGUACCAGGAGUGAUGAUGGUGGGAGAUGAACUGUGUGGGCCAGUUUGACAGCCAUUUCGGCCCAACUGACUAUCGGAAGAGAAAACCAUUUUCAGCUCGAGUGCACUGAUAACCCCUUUAGAAUUUAGAGGUUGGUGCGUUUCAUAUCCCAAAGUAAAACUGUGGAUAGGCUUAUAGGUCUAAUGAGAUCUUGUUUUCUCCAAGUCCAUUUACUUUCAUCUUUCGAACUUGGUGAGUUGAAGCAUCUGAAUAACCAAGAGGUUCUUGUUCAAGUGCGUUGGCUUAGUGAGGAAAAUAACAUAUCUUGAUAUCAAA